UGUUUGCUGCGGCAAAUUUUUUCUUACUGUCCCGGAACGGCCACGAAUCUUAAUGGCCCACUUUUCCAGGUGGCGGAAGAGGAAACUUGUUUUGUUUCCAACUUCCAUCGAAAUAGGAUGGUCUGUUUUUGUACCUUACGGAAGGAGCGAGAACUGGGUUGAGUGCAGAAUUACCUCCACGAUACACAUUGUCUAUUUCCAUCAAGACUAUGACGGUGCUGCGGCUAAACAAACAGACGAACUUCCACGGCCGUCGGAAUGCUCGCCCGAAAAACAACGCUCAAGAAUAGCGCGUCAACACCGAAGGAACAUCCACAACGGCGGGUUGACGAUUUUUUUUGACGACGACACUGUGCUGAUAGACGAGUGCGAAUUCUGCUUGCGGCCAUCGAACUCGUGGGGAUUCCCCGGUUACCUGUCCUGGCCACGGGCGGGCUCCCGGAAAUCAAGGACAAGCUGAGAGUUCCAGCGAAUUGCAGGCGAAGAAAUUCCAAAAUAAGGAACUCGAAAUGAAACUAGCAACUUCUUCAAGCUGAUGAAGGCCAUGGUCAUCUCAAAACACUAUCAACAAACUUUAAUAACAGAACCUGAACCGACAUCGGUGGCUUGUAGAACGCCAAAGAGGUGCAGAAUCUAGUCGGAUGAAAACGCAGGCAGGUUCUUGUGAAAUCGUUGGAAAGUCAAGGCAAGAACGGGCAUAAUGACGAGUUCCUCCUGCGUCCUGCAAUCUGAAUCAGCUGACACAUUUCGGUCAACGAGUUGCUGUGCUGCGACGAAGAAUCGUACGGUUCGCUGCGAGUACUUUUACAGUCCUGUCUUCCGGAUCCGACCGACUCAUGGAACGGAUUGUGGUCGUGCUGGAGAUAUCGAACAGACGCUAGCAGAAGAGGAAGAAAACGGUCACUACUUUCAGCUUAACUUGUUCGUGCAUGUAGGUAACUGCGAGCCGAGGCGUCGAAUCCUCGAUCGACCCGUUAACAAUCCCGGUGACAGCGUUACGAAAGCGAACGGUAAUUCUGAACAGAAAUUCCCCACUUAAGCUGCACGUGCCGAACGGAUCUCUCUUGAAGUCUGCUGACUUUGAACGCAUCACUCCGGCAGACCCCCAAAAACAGCAGAGCACAUCCUAAGGGGAAACCUCAAAAAAUUAUUGAAAUGUAAUGAUUACGUAUGAAAUAAACUUUAUGUGGGAAGAAUGGGUAAGGGGGAGUGGUUUUGGUAUUUUUCGAGCGAUGUUCAUAAUUUGGUUAUUUGCGCUUCCGGACGCGAAUUGGCGAUCAUAUCAACUCCAACGGCAAAAGCGUGCUGCACUAUUUCAUACUUUAUCUAGCUCGUCCAACGUCACGACUUCCAAGAAGGUUCUCCCGGAGGUAGCUCGAUUCGAACGGUUGUUGAAUCAUUUGUGUCAUCACGCAUUUCAUGAUAGGGAAGUAAAACGUAGGUUCCGGCCUCAGUCGUUUGAUCAUUCCCGUUGUAUUAGUCUUCUCCAACAAGAAAUGCAGUAGCUGGUUUUAAAACCGGUGGAAGGAAAAAAACGCAUCA